UUCCCAUUUUUCAUGUAGCGCUAACCCUGCAGAAGUGAAAAUACUGUAAAUGUGAAAAAGCCCUGCAUCUCUCAGUGGUGUCUGGACAACCCUGGCAACUCAGAACAUGAAGGAGAGAACAAGAAAUCCCUGUGCUUUUCCUUUUCUUCCUUUCCAAACACGUGUGCAGACUUCCCCUGCAUUUCAGCCCCACCCUCUUUAUUUUACUGCCUAAUCUAUAAAGGAGGAUUAACAGCAGCACGCUGCUUUGGCACAGAGCAGAUUCUGGGUGAGGACCUGUAGGUAGAGUCUAAUGAAUACAAUUUUCUGGGACGGUGAGUGCAUAUUUUUAGCUACAUGCUGGGCUCCAGCGUUGGCUCUUGAGACAGAUGAACAGAUCCUUUGAUCAGACUUGGGUGUUGCUCCAAAAAGAACCUUUUGCAGGAAGUAGUUGGGGGAAAAUGUCUUCUGUUUCCCUUAUUCCUAAUUUGUACUGUAUAGAUUCAGAUUCCAGAUAACUGGUCCCAGUAAGUUGCAUUACAACACUGAGAUACACCAUUGUGAGGUGUAGUGGUCCUGGGCGCCAGUGCCCAGAUCCACUUUCUGGCAAAAUGGGAUGGCUGGUACCUCAAGUGUGUGGUUGCCAUCCUUCCCCCCUUGGAGAGUAAGCUAGAGGUAGUUAACCCUCCUGGGGGAGGCUUGGCCUAGACAACAUCAUAGACACCAUAUCCCCCCUGGAGUUACCAAACAAUAAAACUGCUUUCUUUGCCAAAUACAAAGAAUGGUCUGGAGUUGGAUAUUAGCAAACAGCAAACCCUGUAAAGAAGAAAGGGAGGGAAGGAGGGAGGGAGAAGAAACAAAGGAGAAUAGAAGGGAGGAUGGAGGAAAAGAAGGAAAAUUGCAUGAAAAGAAGGCAGAAAACAAGGUCUUUUCUGCUUUCGUUUGCCAGGGACAAGGCAGCCAUCCAAUCUUGUCUUGAUUUUAGUGCCAUGGCGAGGAUGGGGCAGCGGAGACGGGGUUUUGAUGCAAUGCCAAGCGGGGCAGGGAUGAGGCGCCAGGUCUGUGGAAAUGCUGAGACUUUAAGACCUUGGCACUGGGAGAGUGUGAGCAAGAUGCUCUUCCAGGUAGAGUAUUAAUACGCAAGAUCUCCUGCUGGCAGACUCAACAGAAUCUUUCUGGCCGUGAAGUGAAGUCCAAACCUGGUAAUUUUUGCUUUCCUUUAUUGUAUGUGCUCAGGUCUGCUUCAUUCAUUGCAAAAGAUAUAUCAGUAGCUAAAUGCAUAUAAAGAAACAAAGGGAUGUUUGCAAACUAUUGACUUAACUCUGUACUCAGACAUUCUGAUAGGUUUGCUGUAAAAUAUUCAUACGCUACAAACAUUUAGGUAUGUUUGAUAAGAAAAGCAACUAGAGGGAUGCCUGGGUGGCUCAGUGGAUUGUGCGUCCAAGUCUUGAUUUCGGAUCGGGUCAUGAUCUCACUGGUUCAUGGGAUCCAGUCUCCACUGUCAGUACAGAGCUUGCUUAGGAUUUUCUGUCUCCCUCUCUCUCUGCUCCUCCCCCAUUAGUGUGCAGUCUUUCUCUUUCUCUCUCUCUCUUUCUCAAAAUAAAUAAAUAAACUUAAAAAUUUUGUAUAAAAAA
ensembl:lncRNA